rnacentral:rRNA from 1 species
UACGGAGGGAGCUAGCGUUGUUCGGAAUUACUGGGCGUAAAGCGCACGUAGGCGGCUUUUUAAGUCAGGGGUAAAAUCCCGGGGCUCAACCCCGGAACUGCCCUUGAAACUGGAGAGCUAGAAUCUUGGAGAGGCGAGUGGAAUUCCGAGUGUAGAGGUGAAAUUCGUAGAUAUUCGGAAGAACACCAGUGGCGAAGGCGACUCGCUGGACAAGUAUUGACGCUGAGGUGCGAAAGCGUGGGGAGCAAACAGG